CACGUAGGGCGCAAGCGUUGUCCGGAAUUAUUGGGCGUAAAGAGCUCGUAGGCGGUCUGUUACGUCUGCUGUGAAAACCCAGGGCUUAACCCUGGGCUUGCAGUGGAUACGGGCAGACUAGAGGCAGGUAGGGGAGAAUGGAAUUCCCGGUGUAGCGGUGAAAUGCGCAGAUAUCGGGAGGAACACCGGUGGCGAAGGCGGUUCUCUGGGCCGAUACUGACGCUGAGGAGCGAAAGCGUGGGGAGCGAACAGG
rnacentral:rRNA from 1 species